ACCGCGAUAGCUCAGCUGUAGAGCAAUCUCGCCGGUAUGCAGAGGGUCGCCGGUUCGAUUCCGGCUCGCGGCG
rnacentral:tRNA from 1 species